rnacentral:lncRNA from 1 species
CUUAAUCUGGUUUAGGCUGGACCUAGGCUGAAGCUGGACAUAAAUUUUGCAAUGCAAAAUGGUGAUUGCAGAUCGUGGACUUCCUUGCCUGUGUCUCCACAGUCCUAGACAUCUCUUCCCAUUUCAUGGUCUCCCUGGAAAAGAGCUUUGUCUAACAAGGCCUCAAGGAAGAAGUAUGUUGAGGCUGUGAACAUCUGCAUGAAGUAACUAUUUGCAAAGAGCAAUUUUUGAGGAAGGCUAAGUUCAGUGGUCCUAACAAACAACUGGUUUAUAAUUCUGUUGAGGAUACUCUUUGCAAAGUGACCUGUGACAAUUCCCCCAGUGUUUUAAUAGAGUUUUUGUAAAUCUCUACUUUCAAAAAACAGCAUGUAAAGAAGUGAAUCCCCUGAAGUUAUAGGAAGUUGCUUUCUGAGGAAAGAAGCAGCCCUCAAAAGAAAAGCAUUCUAACUGCUUUCUUGUACAAGGAUUUAGUCCAUUUCACCAGAAGACAAGCUUGAUUUGUUCAACAAAAUAAGGGAAAUGCCCAGUUAGAGAGAGGGGGUUUCUCAUCUUGCCUUAAACAUUAGUUUAGACAGAAAUUCUCACCUGGUAAAAAUCAGUAUUGUCGGUACAUCUGCAGUAACUGAAGUUUAAUAAUUUCAAAAUAAUUUAAUAAUUUCAAAAAAAAAGUUGAGUUGAACAUAAACUAACUCAAAUAAUAAAUUCAAAUAGUUGUAUGUUAUUUGAAUUCUU